GGUAGAUACUAUUAUUAUUUCCAUAUUGCAGUUGAAGAAACUGAGGAAGAUACAGCCAGGGUCACAUAGCUAGUAAGUAGCUAAGGUUGGAUUUGAACUCAGUCCUUUCUGCUUCCAGGUCCAGCAGCUUUAAAUACCAGGUGACAGAAUUUGAACUGGACUUGGUAGGCAAUAGAGGGCCAUUGAAAGGUUUUGAAGAGUGGCAAGCUGUGACCAUAUCUAUGCAUGAAGAUUAGCCUGGCAGCAUGUGAAGGAUGGAUGGGAAGAGUUUGGUGAAGGCACUUCUCUUAGAGUCUUUCCAGGCCCUUGCCGCCUCUCCCUGUGCUCCCCAUCAUACAAAUGUGCCUCAUUGAAAUCCCAAGAACUACAAAGGCCCUGAUCUCAGCACUCUGGGGCACAUCAGCUCCCACCUCCCCACUGGGUCUCUGGAUGCCCCGAGGUCAACUACGUUGCCAGUUUUGCCCCAGUGGCUCUAGGACAGAGCAGAUUCGUGGUCAGGACCACAUAAUUCCUGGCCAUCCCUGCCACCAGGUAGGCUUCCAGACACUUCCUGGGACAGAGUAACAUUUCAAGUGGGCGGCUGAAGGCAUUGCUAAAACAUGUAGGGCUGAUUCUGGCUGAUUUCAGUUACACUUUCUGAACUUAUUCCUCGAUGGGUAGCAACUCCCACAUCCUCUUUCUCUCUCCAUCUCUGUGGUAACAACAAGAAUAAGUCCCCCUUCUCAACCCCAGCUGGCAGCCCCCUCAUUCCUAUCCAUCUCAUCUUUCCUCUUCCUCUCUCUCCAAUGCCCCACACCGGAUUUGUGCCCGCAGAACAACAGCUCCCUGAUAUCACUUGUUUAGUCAUGAACUCUUCCCCUCGAAUCAGAGCCUAAAAGGCAUUUCUUGCCCUGCUAAUUUAUUUAUGAUGUAACUUUUAAAAUCUAGAUCAUGUAUACAUUCAAAGUUUAUAUUGAUGUAUAGGGUAAGGGAUUGAUCUAAACCCAGUUGCUGCCCAGUUUUUCCAGCCAUUUUCAUCAAAUAAUAAGUCCUUUCCCCAAUAACUGGAGUCUGGGUUUAUCAAACAUUUUGCUACUAUAUUUGCUUCAAUCAUGUACUUAAUUGACUGGUUAGGUACUGAUGGACUUCUCUUUCUUUGAACCACUUCCCUUUUGAUGAUUUGGCACAGUGGAGAGUGCCAGGACUGGAAACAGGAAGCCUCAUCUUCCCAAACUGGCUUCAGACACUUACUAGCUGUGUGACCCUGAUCAAGCCACUUAAGCAUGUUUCUUUAUCUGUAAGAUGGGCUGGAGAAGGAAAUGGCAAGCCAUUUUAGUAUCUUUGCCAAGAAAACCCCAAAUGGAGUCACAAAGAGUCGGAUGUGCCUGAAAAGCAACUGAACAACAAAAUUCCCAAUCAGUUGGAGGCAUCUAGAUGGCUCAGUAGAUAGAGUACUGGGCCUGGAAUUAGGAAGACCUGAGUUCAAAUAUGACCUUCAACACUUACUAGCUAACUAUGUGACCCUGGGUAAGUCACUUUGUUUACCUUAAUCCCCCAGAGAAGGAAAUGGCAAACCACUUAAGUA
rnacentral:lncRNA from 1 species